CGGGGCGUGGCGCAGCCCGGUAGCGCGCACCGUUCGGGUCGGUGAGGUCCCCGGUUCGAAUCCGGGCGCCCCGACAA
rnacentral:tRNA from 1 species